rnacentral:rRNA from 1 species
CGGAGGCGACCGCUUUUGGAGUUCGAUUAAGCCAUGCGAGUCGAGAGCUUUCGGAGCUCGGCAUACUGCUCAGUAACACGUGGAUAACCUGCCCUAUUGUCUGGGAUAACCUCGGGAAACUGAGAACAAUGCCGGAUAGCCCACAAUGCCUGGAACGGUUUGUGGGUGAAGAUAGGAUGGGUCUGCGGCGUAUCAGGUCGUAGGGGGUGUAAUGGACCUCCUAGCCAUCGACGCGUACGGGUGUUGGGAGACAUAGCCCGGAGAUGGAUUCUGAGACACGAAUCCAGACCCUAUGGGGUGCAGCAGGCGCGAAAACUUCACACUGCAGGAAACUGUGAUGAGGGAACUCCAAGUGCUAUCACCAUGUGGUAGCUUUUCUUAACUAUUAAUCGGUUUUGGAAUAAGGGCUGGGAAAGACCGGUGCCAGCCGCCGCGGUAAUACCGGCAGCUCAAGUGGUCGUCGCUUUUAUUGGGCCUAAAACGUCCGUAGCCUGUUUGGUAAAUCUGUGGGUAAAUCAACCAGCUUAACUGGUUGAAUUCUGCAGAGACUGCCAGACUAGGGACCGGGAGAGGUGUGGGGUACUCUAGGGGUAGGGGUAAAAUCCUGUCAUCCUUAGAGGACCACCAGUUGCGAAGGCGCCACACUGGAACGGAUCCGACGGUCAGGGACGAAGCCUAGGGGCACGAACCGGAUUAGAUACCCGGGUAGUCCUAGGUGUAAACGCUGUGAACUUGGUGUCGGGGAUCCGUAAUGGGUUCUCGGUGCCGGAGUGAAGAUGUUAAGUUCACUGCCUGGGGAGUACGGUCGCAAGGUUGAAACUUAAAGGAAUUGGCGGGGCAGCAC